GACGAACGCUGGCGGCGUGCUUAACACAUGCAAGUCGAACGGAAAGGCCCUGCUUUUGUGGGGUGCUCGAGUGGCGAACGGGUGAGUAACACGUGAGUAACCUGCACUUGACUUUGGGAUAACGUCAGGAAACUGGGGCUAAUACCGGAUAGGAGCUCCUGCUGCAUGGUGGGGGUUGGAAAGUUUCGGCGGUUGGGGCUGGACUCGAGGCUUAUCAGCUUGUUGGUGGGGUAGUGGCUGACCAAGGCUUUGACGGGUAGCCCGCCUGGGAGGGGGACCGGCCACAUUGGGACUGCGGGACGGCCCAGUCUCCUACGGGCGGCAGCAGUGGGGAAUAUUGCACAGUGGGCCGAAGCCUGAUGCAGCAGCGCCGCGUGCGGGAUGCCCGCCUUCGGGUUGUAAACCGCUUUCGCCUGUGACGAAGCGUGAGUGACGGUAAUGGGUAAAGAAGCACCGGCUAACUACGUG
rnacentral:rRNA from 1 species